GUAGUCUGCAACCCGACUACAUGAAGCUGGAAUCGCUAGUAAUCGCGGAUCAGAAUGCCGCGGUGAAUACGUUCCCGGGUCUUGUACACACCGCCCGUCACACCAUGGGAGUCGGAAAUGCCCGAAGUCUGUGACCCAACCGCGAGGAGGGAGCAGCCGAAGGCAGGUCGGAUGACUGGGGUGAAGUCGUAACAAGGUACC
rnacentral:rRNA from 1 species